ACACGACUACAUUAGAUACCCCGGUAGUCCUAGCCGUAAACGAUACUCGCUAGGUGCCGGCCACGGUGCGACCGUUGUCGGUGCCGUAGGGAAGCCGUGAAGCGAGCCACCUGGGAAGUACGGCCGCAAGGCUGAAACUUAAAGGAAUUGGCGGGGGAGCACAACAACGGGUGGAGCUUGCGGUUUAAUUGGAUUCAACGCCGGAAAUCUUACCGGGACCGACAGCAACAUGAAGGCCAAGCUGAAGACUUUGCCGGAUUAGCUG
rnacentral:rRNA from 1 species